rnacentral:rRNA from 1 species
AUUGAACGCUGGCGGCAGGCCUAACACAUGCAAGUCGAGCGGGGUUUUCGGACCUAGCGGCGGACGGGUGAGUAAUGCGUAGGAAGCUGCCCGAUAGAGGGGGAUACCAGUUGGAAACGACUGUUAAUACCGCAUAAUGUCUACGGACCAAAGUGUGGGACCUUCGGGCCACCUGCUAUCGGAUGCGCCUACGUGGGAUUAGCUAGUUGGUGAGGUAAUGGCUCACCAAGGCGACGAUCUCUAGCUGGUUUGAGAGGAUGAUCAGCCACACUGGAACUGAGACACGGUCCAGACUCCUACGGGAGGCAGCAGUGGGGAAUAUUGGACAAUGGGCGCAAGCCUGAUCCAGCCAUGCCGCGUGUGUGAAGAAGGCCUUCGGGUUGUAAAGCACUUUCAGCGAGGAGGAAGGGAUGUAUGUUAAUAGCAUGCAUUUUUGACGUUACUCGCAGAAGAAGCACCGGCUAACUCUGUGCCAGCCGCCGCCGUAAUAC